GGCGAACGGGUGAGUAAUACAUGGGUGACCUACCCUUAAGUGGGGGAUAACCAGCCGAAAGGUUGGCUAAUACCGCAUACGCUUCCGGCUCUGCGGAGCUGGAAAGAAAGCUGCCCUGUGAGGGUGGCGCUUUUGGAUGGGCUCAUGUCCUAUCAGCUUGUUGGCGGGGUAACGGCCCACCAAGGCUUCGACGGGUAGCUGGUCUGAGAGGACGAUCAGCCACACUGGCACUGCGACACGGGCCAGACUCCUACGGGAGGCAGCAGUGAGGAAUAUUGCGCAAUGGGCGAAAGCCUGACGCAGCGACGCCGCGUGGGGGAUGAAGGUCUUCGGAUUGUAAACCCCUUUCGGGAGGGAAGAUGGUUGCAUACAAGUGCAACGGACGGUACCUCCAGAAGCAGCCACGGCUAACUUCGUGCCAGCCGCCGCGG
rnacentral:rRNA from 1 species